UGAGCUGGGUGGGGCGGGGCGGUGCCGCUGGUUCUCCUCAGGACGCCAUGACAGCGCCGGGAGGGGAGUGAGCGCCCAGCCUGAGUCCAAGGAGAAGUGAUAAGAAAAAGCCAGGACCGGCGGCAUCUUCAACCUGGGGUUCGACUCUUGGGGGUUUAAUGCAGAGAUCUGCUUAUGAUUGGGGCUCUAGGAGCUGCUCCCAUUCAAAAAAAUAGAAGUCUGAAAGUACUUAUGCAAAAGCAGAGAAGACUUAGUCUUGACACAGUAGCUUCACCUACCCAGUAAGUGCUGGUGGAGAACAAUACUGAGCUCCUCUUCUGACAGAAAUGCACAGAAUUCUGCUAAGCAGCCAGCUGAAGCCAUGCGGGUGGCAUCCUAAAUGAAGAAAGGAAGGAAAGAGUAACACUGGUUGAGCUCAAUCCACAUCACGGACAAGCAGUCAGACAAGCAAGGGACAGAAAGAUGAAAUAAAAAGAGAAGGGGAAAAAAAAGUAC